ensembl:lncRNA
CCUGGGCAAGUGACGUUGGAUUGUUGCAGUGAAUUUCUGCCUUAAGAUUGGCUUCAUCUCAAGAACAAGGGAAGAUGACCUCAAGCCUCUGGAAGAAGGAAAGGAAUAUCUACACAUUUUUCUGCUUCUGUGGUUUCUAUGGCUGUUGGCCUGGCACCAGUACACAGUUCCCAGAGAACAAGACACUGCCACUGGAUAUAAAUGGAGAGGAAGUAAACAUAGAAAGAGCUAAAAUGUGUGUACCAAUAUAACAGCUUAGCUGUUAUAGAAAGCGCUCCUUUUCUUGCAGCCCAUCUUUCUGAUCUUUACUGUGGUGAUUUCCACAUGGACCUGGUGACUGUUAGUUCCACUCAUGGAAACUUCAAAAUGAAAUCAGUGCAAAGCAGCUUAUAUUUCAUAUGGGUUUCUCUAUGAAAGCAUAUUCAGACAGCUCAGUAUCUGGUUGAAAUUGGAAUCCAGUUGUUGUCACUUGUCUCAGCCUCAAAUAUCAAAUCCUUGUGCUGCAAAAGUCACUGAAGAUGUUUUCCAUUUCUAAGGAAAAAUACAAAUGAAGAAUGGUCUUAGGCAGAAAUCAUGUAUUCAAGCAUCAGUAUGUGAUGUGGAAGUUAAGGGGAGGGCACAAAAGAAGUAUUACUAAAAUACUUCUCUCAGUUCUUUCACUGCGUGUAUUAAAAAAGCAAAUGCAAACAGCAUCUCUCUUUAAAUUACGGCUGAACUGUAUUUACUAUAGUAAAACUACAGGAGCUUGAUGCAUUAUAUAAUAAUAAAAAAUAUGCCAGUUUAUUAAGUCAAACAGUAAAACUAUCAUCAGUCUCAGCUCUCAUACACAGUAACGUGGCAAACCUUUCUGACUGCGGCUUUAUAGUUUAUUUAGCAUCUGUACUUAGUUACAGAGGUUUUACUAUCUGCAUUUCAAUAUACUCUUCUGAUUAAAACUCCUCAUAGUUUUUUUUUAUUAGAUUUUCUGUCUACAUAUGUUUGAUUUACCGAGACACUGUGAAAUAGAGAAAGUCACUUUGAAAGUUCCCUUUAUGCCUUGAAUUGUUUGUAAAAUAGAGAAAUAGGAAUAAAACAAUGGAAAGAACU